rnacentral:rRNA from 1 species
AACGUAGGUUCCGAGCGUUAUCCGGAUUUACUGGGCGUAAAGCGCGUUCAGGCGGUUUGGCAAGUCGUGCAUGAAAUCUCUCGGCUCAACCGGGAGAGGUUGUCCGAUACUUCCAGACUUGAGGGCAGUAGAGGGUGGUGGAAUUCCGGGUGUAGUGGUGAAAUGCGUAGAUAUCCGGAGGAACACCAGUGGCGAAAGCGGCCACCUGGACUGCACCUGACGCUGACACGCGAAAGCUAGGGGAGCGAACGGG